rnacentral:rRNA from 1 species
GGCACGACACCGGAGAGGGAGCCUGAGAAACGGCUACCACAUCCAAGGAAGGCAGCAGGCGCGCAAAUUACCCAAUCCCGACACGGGGAGGUAGUGACAAUAAAUAACAAUACAGGGUUCUUUUGGAUCUUGUAAUUGGAAUGAGUACAAUUUAAAUCUCUUAACGAGGAACAAUUGGAGGGCAAGUCUGGUGCCAGCAGCCGCGGUAAUUCCAGCUCCAAUAGCGUAUAUUAAAGUUGUUGCAGUUAAAAAGCUCGUAGUUGAAUUUCGGGAUCAAUAUUUCGGUCAUGCCGUUGGUAUGCACUGUUAUCAUUGAUUUCUCACCUUCUAAAGAACCGUAAUGCCAUUAAUUUGGUGUUACGGGGAAUUAGGACUGUUACCUUGAAAAAAUUAGAGUGUUUAAAGCAGGCUCACGCUUGAAUACAUUAGCAUGGAAUAAUGAAAUAGGACAUCCGAUUCUAUUUUGUUGGUUUCUAGGAUCGAUGUAAUGAUUAAUAGGGAUAGUUGGGGGCAUUAGUAUUCAAUUGUCAGAGGUGAAAUUCUUGGAUUUAUUGAAGACUAACUACUGCGAAAGCAUUUGCCAAGGAUGUUUUCAUUAAUCAAGAACGAAAGUUAGGGGAUCGAAGACGAUCAGAUACCGUCGUAGCCUUAACCAUAAACUAUGCCGACUAGGGAUCGGAUGAUGUUAAUUUUUUAAUGACUCAUUCGGCGCCUUACG